UCAAAUGACGAGAAAAUUUGAUUAGCUCUAGAUCAGUAGUCACUCUUUUGUGGCGGUGACGGAUUAACAUGUAUUAUCCGAUGA
rfam:Penicillium brasilianum genome assembly, contig: SCAF1